CUAGAGUUAUAGGCCUCGAACCUACUCCUAAGAACUCAAAAUUCUUUGUGCUACCCCAUUACACCACACUCUA
rnacentral:tRNA from 1 species